AGCUAAUACUUGCUUUAGCACUCUUGAUUAAGUUCUUGAGUGUGUACUUGUUAAGCCUUUUAAGAAAAAAGUUAUUAACUUAAGGAAUUAUAACAAAGAAGUAACACGUAAUGGAUCCGUCCAUUUUUAGUGUGUAUCAAUCGAGUUUCUGACCUAUCAGCUUUUGAUGUUAGGGUAUUGGCCUAACAUGGCUAUGACGGGUAACGGGGAAUUAGAGUUCGAUUCCGGAGAGGGAGCCUGAGAAAUAGCUACCACAUCUAAGGAAGGCAGCAGGCGCGUAAUUACCCAAUUCUAAAGAAGAGAGGUAGUGACAAGAAAUAACAAUACAAGGCCAAUCUGGCUUUGUAAUUGGAAUGAUGGGAAUUUAAAACCUUCCCAAAACUCAAUUGGAGGGCAAGUCUGGUGCCAGCAGCCGCGGUAAUUCCAGCUCCAAUAGCGUAUAUUAAAAUUGUUGCAGUUAAAACGCUCGUAGUUGAAUUUCAAAGAAUCGAUAUUUUAAGUAACGCUUUUAGCUUAAUCCACAUAACUGAUACUACGUAUCGACUUUGUGCGCAUUUUGCUAUUAUGUGUUCUUUUAAUUAAAAUGAUUCUUUUUAAGAUCUUUCUUUUUUGCUUCGGCAUUUUAGGAGAUCUUGUUACUUUGAGUAAAUUAGAGUGUUCAAAGCAAACAGAUUAUAGCAUCUUUAUGCGUUUGAAUACUACAGCAUGGAAUAACAAAAUUGAACAAGUCAGAAUUUUGUUCUUUUUUCUUAUUUUGGCUUAGUUACGAUUAAUAGGAGUAGCUUGGGGGCAUUUGUAUUCAGAUGUCAGAGGUGAAAUUCUUAGAUUUUCUGGAGACAAACAACUGCGAAAGCAUUUGCCUAAAAUACUUCCAUUAAUCAAGAACGAAAGUUAAGGGAGUGAAGACGAUCAGAUACCGUCGUAACCUUAACCAUAAACUAUGCCGACUAGGCUUUGGAUGAAAGAUUUUAAAAUAAGAGUUUUUCUCUUCGGAGUUAACCUCUUAGAUUGCUUCCUUCAGUGCCUUAUGAGAAAUCAAAGUCUUUGGGUUCCGGGGCGAGUAUUCGCGCAAGCGAGAAAGUUAAAAGAAUUGACGGAAGGGCACCACCAGGCGUGGAGCUUGCGGCUUAAUUUGACUCAACACGGGAAAACUCACUAGUUUAAGACAAGAGUAGGAUUGACAGAUUAAUAGCUCUUUCUUGAUUUCUUGGAUGGUGAUGCAUGGCCGUUUUUAGUUCGUGAAUAUGAUUUGUCUGGUUAAUUCCGAUAACGAACGAGAUCUUAACCUGCUAAUUAGCGGCAAAUACGAUAUAUUCUUAUGUGGGAUUGGAUACGGUUGAUUUGCUUAUUUUGAAGAAAAUAUUGGGAUACGUAAAUGUAUCCCUUUCCCUUUUCUACUUAAUUUGCUUAUCAUACUAUUUCUUUUUUGCGUAAGAAUGUAUUUGCUUGAUUGUAAAGCUUCUUAGAGGAACGAUGUGUGUCUAACACAAG
rnacentral:rRNA from 1 species